rnacentral:rRNA from 1 species
GAGGAAAGAGGGAGGCGUGCCUAAUACAUGCAAGUCGAGCGAACGGACGAGAAGCUUGCUUCUCUGAUGUUAGCGGCGGACGGGUGAGUAACACGUGGAUAACCUACCUAUAAGACUGGGAUAACUUCGGGAAACCGGAGCUAAUACCGGAUAAUAUUUUGAACCGCAUGGUUCAAAAGUGAAAGACGGUCUUGCUGUCACUUAUAGAUGGAUCCGCGCUGCAUUAGCUAGUUGGUAAGGUAACGGCUUACCAAGGCAACGAUGCAUAGCCGACCUGAGAGGGUGAUCGGCCACACUGGAACGGAGACACGGUCCAGACUCCUACGGGAGGCAACAGUAGGGAAUCUUCCGCAAUGGGCGAAAGCCUGACGGAGCAACGCCGCGUGAGUGAUGAAGGUCUUCGGAUCGUAAAACUCUGUUAUUAGGGAAGAACAUAUGUGUAAGUAACUGUGCACAUCUUGACGGUACCUAAUCAGAAAGCCACGGCUAACUACGUG